CUCUUUAUGAGUGUUAUACUUUCUCAUUUAAACGUGUAUAAUAUUAAAGAAACCUUAUGUUAAAAUAGGUUUUUUUGUUUUAGCAAUUCAAAAGAGUAUAAAGAGAUGGCUAUUGUUAAUUUUGUUUCAAGUCAACCGAUAAAGCACGAUUUUCAGACAACAAUAAAGCAUUGGCAGUUGAGGGAUUUAUUGCACAGUCCUCAAAAGAAACUACUUUAUUCUGUUGAAAACCAUUAUAUUAAAUGUUAUGAUACUGGAAAAAAGAGAUCUAGCACUCUUUCCGCUCUUCGUUUUGAUCCUACAGCUCUUAACGCAAG